CGGUCGCUCCCUCCUUUUGGAGGUGGCGUCGGGUGGUCGGACAUUAUCUCGGACAGUGUUGGGACGACGCAUGAGUAGCAAUCUGGAUAGGUUACCUUUGCAGGCUCCGUGCUUCUCGCAUCGAACUGCUUUGUUCUAUCCGUUUCAUUUGAUCGCUCGCCUCGUUGCCCCGAGGGUCGGUUGCGAGUGAUGGGUGGGUUCCUGUGCUCGAUACCGUAUUGCGUCUUGUCCACGUCUUGGUUCCCUUGUUCCUCCUUUGCCUCAUGGGCGUUGGUGGAUAUCGUGCGGGCAUCGACGCAGUCCGUCCGGACGGUCGUCCACCUCUGGGCGUUUCCUCUCGUGUCGGCGCGUCGAUGCCGUCCGCAUGCUCUUGGGUACGGAGAUAUCUUUUUUCAUCGCGCGGUCCCUUUGUUGGCCGUCGCGAUCUUGACGUGUCAAAGCUUCUUUGCUUCCGCUCGGGCGACCCUCGUGCUUUCCUUGGAGCUCGCGGGGCCUCUCGGCUUCGCGUUCGUCCUUGGAGGCAUCGAGGUCUAC
rnacentral:misc_RNA from 1 species